CCCCUUUAUUUAUCUCCUUUUGUAAGAGAGCUUGUUGCUUGGCUUGCAUUUGGUCGGUGGAUCUUGGUUGCUCUCUCCCCUAUGUUCUCCGCGUGAGUGGGUUUGAAGCAAGCGCGUGUAUUUUUGGGUCUCUGCGUGUCAGGAUAGUUAUUGAUCAUCUCUUUGACUUGCAAUCUAAUGGUGAAUCACUCAGAUCUGAAUUUCCUAAGUUGCGAUGGAGAUUUGAUUCUCCAAGCCUGUGAUUCGAUCUCUAUGCAUACGAUGAUGAUGAAUGUAAAGAGGAUAAAAGUUUCAUUCAAUGUCAUGGCACGUUGAUCUAUGCCUAUCAAGUCAGCGACAUACCAAAGAUCAAAGUGAGAAGGGACUGAGAUAAGCAAAAGAGGUUCAAGCAAACCAUCCAAUUAAUUCCUUGUUUUGUAAAGCUUAUGCUAUUAUCCCAUGUGUCUCAGUGAUAUUAACCUCCACCCCAUUUGGAUUCAGUGACCAAUCCAUCUGAGCGCGUGUUAUCAGUCAAGUACAUGACACUUGUCAGGAAACACAAUUUGAAGGCUGAAUUGACUUAUAAAGGCCCAAUAAAGAUAGAACUUAAAAUAAGUUUUAUCCUUAGCUGGCCAUGGUCAUCCGUGUUUGAUAUAAAUUCUUCUAGUUAUGAUCUAUUUCAUAUUAUACAUAUGGUCAUUUUUUGUGAACUACAUUUCUUGGUCUCCAUCUCAUCAACACCUAAUGUUAUUUAAACCUGAUGAAUGGAUCGAGGAGUACAAAUUGGAAUAUUUUGAUUUUCGUGACAAUAUAUGCUGACAUCAUG